CGGUUUUAUCAGUCCGAGCGAGUCGAACGGUGUGCCAGCUCGGCCUGCCCCACAUUUUCAGUCACUCGCACGCGACAGCGCAUACCGCAGGUGCGAGCCGAUCGUUCGCGAAUCCUAGAUUCGCUUUUCGAUCUUUGAGAUCUCUUCCGGUGAUCUCGAUCGUUUUUCUUCUUCGAUAAAUAAGAGGUGAAAACAUGGACCAUUCGACAUUACCUUGAAGUAAACACAUAUUUGUUGAGAGAAAGUUUGAAUGAAAUUUGGAAAAGAGGGUGAACGAAGAGAACAAUAUGGAAGACGAAGAUUUUGGAUUUACAAAAAGGGACAACAGAGCCCUAGUGAAGAUCCUAACCGUUGAGAAAGAGGAAGGGCAUACACAAAAGGAGAGAGGACCGUCCUCAGCGCCGACGAGGGCUGCGGCCGCCGGUGGAAGCGGUGGAGACAGCAAUCGUGGCCGUUCCAAGACCGCCCCCUCGUCAGUUCCAAACAACGCGCCGAACAUACCGAACGUCGUCGAAUAUCAUCUCAAAGUAAAGCCACCUUCUAAACUCAACAAACUCGAAGAACAACCCAGAAGCAAUCAUAAAGAAGAAAUGAAGAAAGAUUUGUUGUCCGUAACGGAAAAUAAGAAGGACCUGAUAGCACAAUUAUCUCGUCUGUCGAUCGACAACAAUGUGUUCGAAGGGUCGACUGAUUUGCCGCAGGUGUUUCAGGUAAAAUACUUGGGAUCUCACGAUGCAAGGGGCCUCUGGGGUAUAAAACAUACGAGACAACCGGUCGAUAACAUGGUAACCUCGGCUAAAGCAUUACCGACCAAUACGAUGCUGCCUUUGAUCAAGUUAGUGGUAUCCCAAGAAGGAGUAGCACUUUUACCACUCGACAAAAGGAAGCAGGAAGGCAACAUAGCUAGAAUGUACGCCAUCGAAACUAUUUCCUAUGGUGUUCAGGAUCUCGUUUAUACCAGGGUAUUCUCGAUGAUCGUUGUUCGUGAUACAGAUAACUUUCGUAGGGUAUCACCCUUCGAGUGUCAUGGCUUCGUUUGCGAAUCGAAACAUCAUGCCAGACAACUCACUUAUGCACUUGCCACUGCAUUUGAGAUUUACUCGAGAAAAGUCAAGUUCCAAGAUAAGACUAAUUCUGAAAACGUUGUCAGUAAUACUAAGAAAAGAUUUGCCAUCGAUCUCAGAACUCCUGAAGAAAUCGAAGCUGAUCUUUGUAUGGAUUCUGAAGCGUGAAGGAUUUAGAUAUUUUCUUUCAGACAUUAUGGCUGUUCAAAUUUUUACGUCGAUGAAGGUCGAUGAACGUCGACGAAGGUUAGUCCUUUUGUUUUCUUCGUGUUACCUUUAAAUAUAGGGGUAUAUAUCUAUGUUAGUUGUGCUGUCUAACGAUAACGUAGUUGUAAACAAGUGAUUUGAAAGAUUUAUGUGUUAAUUUUUGCCAAGAGCGUUGCAUUUCGUAGAAAACAGGACGAUACAGGGUUACGAUUAUAGAUAUCGAUUUAUUUACGCAAUUAAAUGGAAAACAUCUGUCUAGUGUAAUAUAGAUUUUUUUGACUAUGGAUAUAAAUCUUAUCGACUAGAUUCUUUCGAGAGUUUAUAUAUAUAUAUAUAUAUAUAUAUAUUAUAUAUAUUUAUAUAUAUUAUAUUAAAUAUAUGUGUCUGUAUAUAUUUUACUUGAUUAGAACAAAAACAGUAUAAACAUAUACCAAGAUCAACGUUGAAUAAGAAAUACUUUUAACAUUAUUAGUAUAAGUAUAAUAUAUUACAUUUUAUACGAAUUAAUUAAUAUGUAGUACAUACAUAUACGGGUUUCGUUAUAUUUAGUCUAAGGAAUAAUUGUAACGUAUUAUUCGUUUUGUACAUACAUAUAUGUACAUAUAUAUAUGUAUAUAUAUAUAUAUAUAUAUAUAUAUAUAUAUAUAUAUAUAUAUAUAUAUACAUACAUACAGUGUUUAUUUUCCGUUCAAUUUGAAGAUCAACAUGAGUGGAAUCGUUCCAGUGCCUUGUUAAUAUUGUAAUGAUUUUCUGAAUGAAAGGAAAAGGCAUGUUUAAUUAUUUUGUUCGUAAAUACGAAAGUACAGAUUAUUGUGUGUUUCAUAACUAUUAUCGGCUUUACAAAGAAAGGUUGGGCAUUGCCUAUCCACAACAUGAUGGCUAGCUAUUCCAAAGAUACUGAAUAGAAGAAGAGAAACAGAUAGUCAUCGGUGGUCCCAUGACUUGCCGAAACGACUUUCAGGUAUUUUGCGACAAAAAUGUAUAAUAACGAUCGCGUCUCAAAAAAAAAGAAAAGAAAAGAAAAAAAAAAGAAAGCAUUUGGAUUUAUUUCUAGCCGCUUUGUGUGUGAGAGUGCUUUUUUCAUCUUAUAAUAAGUUUCUUCUUCUUCAAAUAGUAAUUUUUUAAUGGACUUUUAUUAAUCGAGCCUACGACUUUAUUUUGAUUUUAUGCUUUAGUCAUGCUUAAGCGAGAAAUACAAAUAUUUUGUAAUGUACAAUGUAAUAUUACACGUAUUAUUUUUUUCUUGUCUACGUAAGAAAUAUGGAGUUCUCGUUCUCCAAGUUCGAUUUUGCAUUGUCUUGCCGAUACUAUUUUCUAAUCAUUUAUCGUACGUUUCUUAGAUAUAAUUUUAUUUAUAUUUUAGUUGUUUAAGUUUGAAAACCAAUAUCGAUACAUAUCAACGAUCACAUUAUUGGGUGUUACGAGUAACACCGUAUUUAAUAUUACGAUAAUGGUAUAAAGUAUUUCGAUUUAGUUCUUUUCUUUCUUCCUUUUUUCUUUUUCUUUUUCGUUGUAUCUCUAAUUAAUUUUACACUAGAUGGAUUAGUUACUUUCGUAGUAAUAUAUAUACAUAUACAUAUAUAUAUAUAUAUUAUAUACAUAUUAUAUAUAUAUAUAUAUAUAUAUAUAUAUUUAUAUAUACACAUACAUAUAUAUUUUCUGCUUGUCAGCAUUAAGUUUGUAUUGUACUUAAGUAACGUUAAAUAAUGAUAAAACACAUUGAAGUGUUAAAAUGUUCUACAAUUUUAGUCUUUUAUUUUCCAACAUAUAAUACAAUUAAUAAUAUUUUUGUAGGAGUUAAUAAGACACCCUCGAUACUUACUAACAUAUAUUCCUAAUAUUAUAACGCAAAUUUUUACAAACGAAUUAAAAUUAAGAAUCAUUCGAAUGAUUCAAAAUAAUUUAAAACUUUUUUCCUUUUUUCUUUUUUACACGAUUACUAUUAAAACUAAAGAGCAAAAGCAAAAUCUGGAACAUCUUAAAUUAUUACAUUACUUACAUAAUACAUAUAAUUCUUUCUUUUUUCUUAUUUUUUAUUUUUUAUACCUUAGCGAUAUAUGUAUUAAAGGCAAGCGUAUGUAGCAUACAAAAGUUGCUGUUCUUAUUUUUUCGUUUCUCGUUCAACGUAGAAGUAGAGAAGUUAAAUUAUUUGCGAUCGACGUAAUUAAAAAAUUUCGUCAAUAACGUUGAGACGAUCCUUGUCGACUUAAAAUUCUCGAAGUUCUCGAAAAUGGUUUGUUUGUCACUGGCUCGACGUCAGCAUUUACUGGAAGAGAUCUGGUAGUCUCUUCUUCGGUAUUUUCUUCCUCCUUACCAAUUUCUUCGUUCAAACUGUAAUAUUUUUCCGAUUCCUCGCACGGUAUAGAUUCUUCCGUUCGCGUGCAUACGAAAGUGGCCUUAUAAAGAGAUAAAAUAACAAAAAAAAAGGAAAAGAAAGAAAAAAAUAAUAACAAAGAAAUAACUAGAUAAAAACAAUGUAAAUAUACAUACCUGAUUGAAAACCGUUUCAGAAGGGCAAAUGAAACUCCAUUUAGCGACAUUUCUCGUCUGUGGUAGACAAACGUGAAAUAUUUGACAAUCAUUUUCCAUAUCAGCGUAAUAUCCAUAAAUUCUUUCUUUGCAGGAAAAUGUAUCUACGAUGUUGUCUCGUAUGAGUGUCGCAUUGUCUGGUAAUUGUAAUCCACCUAAUUGAUUUUGCUAUAUAGAAGAAGAAAAAUAACAUGUUAAUAAUACAUCGAUGUUAUUGAUAAUAUUGAAAUGUCCUUUACUAACUUUAAACACGGGUAUAGGUCUUUUGGAUUUUGGUUGUUGAGGAAACGCGUGUAUCGCUAAUACGAAAGCACACAAAAUUUGGAUAAAUACGAAUCGAUUCAUCUUGUUUGUUGUGUUCGAAGAAAUAAAUAAAAGUAUUCGAUUGGAGCGGUUUAUGCGUUUAACUUAUUCGAUAGUUUUUCUUCAGAGAUUUUUGGAAGUUUUAACAGCUUCUUUCUUCGGAGGUCCUCAAGUGACUGGAGAUCCGAAUCGUAGAAGGGUGUUAUAUAGUGAAGCGAGGAUAGGGAUCUUGAAUAUUGUAUGAAUGGCCAAUUCUCAGUACGUCCGAAUCAGUAAAUUCUUCACGUUUGGUCUGCCAAUGACCAAUGACCAUCCAGACGUUCACAUCAUCCUCGAAGGCCCGAUGCAAAUGGUCCGAACGUUCGAUGAUGCGGUGUCUUAAGUUCGACGAGAGUACGACCUUGACAGGAGCGAGUCGACUCCCUGCAUUUAAGGAUUAUACUUCGAUCUUUUGGGCACGAUUUUUCAAAGCACGAAGCCACCGACGAAGAUUCACCGAUUACGAAAUCGGAAACGAUGUGAACAUAAGCGCGAAAAGGGUACGGCAGAUGAUGAGGAUAACGAAAAAAACAGGAGAAAAAAACGAAAGAAAGAAAGAAAGAAAGAAAGAAAGAAAGAAAAAAAAAUAG